CAGUUGAUCGGAGCACAUAUUGUCGCCAAAAAUGGCUUCUGAAAACACGGUGAACUUCAUCCUCAACGGAAAACCAGUAGUGGUUAAAAAUCCAAGUCCUUAUUCACUCUUGGGUGACUUCUUGAGAGAAGAAAUGGGUCUCAAAGGGCUUCAACAGCCAUGCAAGCAAGGUGGCUGUGGAGCUUGCACUGUGGUCUUGAGUUCGAGCUCCAAUUUAUCACCUCUGGUUGUGAAUUCUUGCUUGACGCUUCUCUGCUCUGUUGGUGACAUGGACGUGACGACCAUCGAAGGAGUUGGGAGCUUGAAGCGUGGCCUCGCCCCCAUCCAGAAGGCGGUUGUUGAUUACAAUGCAACCCAAUGUGGGUUCUGCACUCCUGGCAUGAUAAUGAGCAUGUAUGGAUUGCUGUGCAGUAAUCCAAAGCCAAGUCCUCAAGAAGUUGAAGAUCAAAUAGAUGGUAAUAUUUGCAGAUGCACGGGUUAUCGACCUCUUUUUGAUGCAUUCCAAACAUUUGCUAGUUCGAAUAAUCAAUCAAACGGAUUGCCAAGAAAACCAUAUUCUUGUCAAAAGCUGAGUUUGGAUAUUGAAGAUAUUUCAAGGACCUUGCCAAGAAAACUAGUGGUUUCAGGGGAAGUGGUUUUGUGGAUAAGAGCACUUACUUUGCAAGAUUUGUAUGAAAUUUUAAGGGCUGAUAAUCGUAAAAGAAAAGUGAGGAUGGUGCGGGGGAAUACUUCAACGGGAAUCUAUCCAAGAGGCAAUUGUGACGUACUAGUUGAUAUUUCUCAAAUACCUGCUUUAUUGGAGGCUUCUCUUACGAGUGAAGGACUUUCUAUUGGUGGGGGAGUUUCAAUUUCAAAUUGUAUGUUGCUUUUGAAGCGGCACAGUAAAUUGUCUAGCAGCUAUGAGCCUGUAUAUCAUCAUCUUAAACGUGUUGCAACUCCCCAAAUUCGCAAUUUAGGAUCUGUUGUGGGGAACUUGAUGAUAGCACAUGAGCACAAAGAUUUCGUUUCCGAUGUUGCAACAAUCCUAAUGGCUGCAGAAUCAAGGCUUGUCAUACAUUCAACUUCUAAUGAAGUCGAAGUGGUCGCAGAUUUGGAGCAAUUCUUUAAAAUGGAUAUGGAAGACAAGGUUAUUUUGAAGAUAAUUGUUCCAAUAUUGUCUGCUGGUUCUCAUUUUGUGACAAAAAAAGUAGCAUUGAGACAAGCAAAUUCUCAUGCCAUAGUGAAUGCAGCAUUUAAAAUUGAAUUGGAUCAGAAAACUGGUUUAGUGUUGAACUUGCCAACUAUUGUUUAUGGUGGUAUCAUGCCAUAUCCACAACGUGCACGGAACACUGAAAAACAACUUAUUGGAAAGUCUUUUUGGGAUCCGAAGGUUUUUGAGAAGAGUUUGCUUGAAUUACAUAAGGAGUUGGUUGUAGAUCCUUCUCUUGGACGCCCCAAGUACCGUUCUAUGUUAGUGAAUCACUUCUUUUACACCUUCGUACUUUCAACCUAUCCUAAGAAUGCACUCCCUCAUGAGUUUUUCUCGGCUGUGGCCCAGGAAAUUCGUCCUAUUUCACGAGGAUCUAUAAGUUAUGGAUUGGGGGAUCCUUCUGAAUACCCGGUAUCACUGGCACUUCCAAAAAUGUCUUCAGCUGGCCAGGCAACAGGAGAAGUUGAAUAUAUGGAUGACUUAAAGUUUAGUAGCUUACAUGCUUCUUAUGUGCUGUCAACUGUUUCUAAUGCCAUCAUUGAGAACAUUGAUGCUUCAAAGGCUCUUAAAUUAAAAGGCGUAGUUGCAUUUCUUUCUGCAGCAACAAUUUCUGCCGAUGGAUUCUCCAACUAUGUGAGUGAUUAUGAGACUGUUUUUGCUGCCAAUGAAGUUCAAUAUUAUGGCCAAGCUGUUGGCUUAGUCGUAGCAGAAUCUAAGGCUGUUGCUGAUAAGGCUGCUGAGAUGGUUGUAGUCAGAUACAAAAACAUCAUGAAGCCUGUUCUUACAAUUGAAGAUGCCAUCAGUGCCAACUCAUUCUUUGAUUCCAGAUCCAUUGAUUUCACGAAAGGAAACGUCGACAUUGCAUUUGGAAAUUCUGAUUUCAUUCUUGAAGGAGAGGUCUAUGUUGGGCAUCAAUACCAUUUUCAUCUAGAAACACAAAGGGCAUUGUGUAUUCCUGGUGAGCAAGGAUGCAUGGACAUAUACUCCUCAACUCAGAAUCCUUCUCUGGUUCAACAAUGCGUCUCUGUGGCUUUGAACAGGCCACAACACAAGAUCACUGUCAAUGUUAAGCGUGUUGGAGGUGCUUAUGGUGCAAAAUUGAACAGAACGCCUCCUGUUGCUAUGGCAUGUGCUAUGGCUGCUGAUUUGCUUCAAAAACCUGUUCGUCUCAUUCUUGAUCUACGAGCAAAUAUGCAGGUUGUUGGGUGCCGUAGUCCAUACUUAUGCCAAUAUAAAGUUGGAGCUAGAAAGAAUGGGCAAAUUACUGCAAUCCAGAUGAAAAUUUUCAAUAACCAGGGUUCGCACUUCGAUUUUGAGUACCCUGAUCUCAGUGGUCUCACCUCGUUUAUUGAUGGUUGUUAUAAUGUUAGAAACUGGAAAAUUGAAGGAAAGAUAGCCCGCACGAACUUGCCGGCAUGUACUUAUAUGAGGGGGCCUGUAUUUGUGGAGACUGCUGUAAUGAUCGAGACAAUUUUGGAGCAUGUUUCAAAAGAAGUUGGUAUUCGAGCCGAGAUUGUUCGAGAACUCAACAUGUAUGAUAAAGGAGAUGUGACAAUAUGUGAUCAAAAUCUUAUUGAUUGCAAUGCAAAGCUUGUUUUCCAUCAUCUUCAGAAUUCUAGUGACUACAUCAGACGUUGUGAAGAGGCAAAGAUUUUUAAUAAACAAAACAAGUGGAUUAAACGAGGAAUUAGUUUGGUACCUGUGAAAUUUGGGGCUGCAUGGGAGGGGCUUCAGAUGAUAUCGCUGGUCAAUAUACACCUCGAUGCCAGUAUCAGCAUUUAUCAGUCAGGAUGUGAGAUUGGGCAAGGGCUAGACAUAAAAGUUGCUCAGGUUGCGGCAAUGACACUGGGAUCAAUUGUUAAAGGAGGAAUCCUUCUGGAAGAUAUAUACGUCCACACAACUACAACAAUAGUUGCAAAUAAUGUAGCAGAAAGUGGUGGCUCGAUCACCUCAGAACUAAGUGGAAAAUCGGUUCAAGAUGCUUGUGAAAAGUUAGUUCAGCGCUUAGAGAGCAUCAGUAGGCUCAUGACAUCCACAAAAGGGAAACCCACUUGGCAAGAGCUUAUUUCUCAGGCUCUUGAUGCUGGUGUGGACCUUCAAGCAAGAGGACGGGUUUACCCCAGUGCUGGCCCUCAUGGUCCUUUCCAAUAUGUUUCAUUUGCUGCUGCAGUAUCUGAAGUUGAGGUCAACAUUUUGAGUGAAACCCAUGUACGUUACAUUCCCUGGAUUAUCUCCCUUUACUGCUUCUUCCCAUUUUUUAUGCAAACACCCUCUGUAUAUAAGGAUAGGAGAAACCAAGGUUGUCAGGGCAGAUGUUGUAUUGGAUUGUGGGAAGAGCCUAAACCCCGCAAUUGAUAUUGGGCAGGUCCAAGGAGCCUUCGUACAAGGAUUGGGAUACCAUUUAUCAGAGAAAUAUGAAUAUGAUUCAGAGACCGGAAGGUUAAUUACGGCAAGUACUUGGGAGUACAAGCCUCCUUCAUCUAAAGAUAUACCACUCGUUUUCAAUGCUUCUCUCCUUCCCAACAGUUCAAACCCUUAUGGAGUCCUAAGAUCCAAGUUCUCUGGGGAGCCACCGUAUGCUGCUGCCUGCAGUGCUUUCUUGGCAGUUCGGCAGGCAAUAGCCGCAGGGAAGUCAGAAUGGGGAGAAUGCAGGUGGUUUAGUUUGAAAAGCCCUGCCACAGUUGAAGAAGUCGCGCUUACCACAAACGUUCCUUCUAAAAUGCUCAUUCUUCCACCAGUGGUGCCUCAGCUUCUUCCAUGAAACAUGUGGGAGCUGUGUUAUAUAUAACUCCAACAACUCUCUCUCUCUCUCUCUCUCUCUCUCUCUCUCUCUCUUUUUGUGGAUGUACGUGAGCUGGCCUUUGGAUUGCUUCGAAAGAAAAUAAGUGAAAGGUUCAUUCUACAUAUCCAUUAGAACGAACACGGGAAUAAUAAAAAUAUUUGAUCCAAAGGCUAUUUGGUUAUUAUUCAAUAUUAAUGUAUUGUUGUACUCUUUUGGAA